UCCCCCAGUAGCGGCGAGCGAACGGGGAGGAGCCCAGAGCCUGAAUCAGUGUGUGUGUUAGUGGAAGCGUCUGGAAAGGCGCGCGAUACAGGGUGACAGCCCCGUACACAAAAAUGCACAUACUGUGAGCUCGAUGAGUAGGGCGGGACACGUGGUAUCCUGUCUGAAUAUGGGGGGACCAUCCUCCAAGGCUAAAUACUCCUGACUGACCGAUAGUGAACCAGUACCGUGAGGGAAAGGCGAAAAGAACCCCGGCGAGGGGAGUGAAAAAGAACCUGAAACCGUGUACGUACAAGCAGUGGGAGCCUCUUAAUGGGGUGACUGCGUACCUUUUGUAUAAUGGGUCAGCGACUUAUAUUCUGUAGCAAGGUUAACCGAAUAGGGGAGCCGAAGGGAAACCGAGUCUUAACUGGGCGUUAAGUUGCAGGGUAUAGACCCGAAACCCGGUGAUCUAGCCAUGGGCAGGUUGAAGGUUGGGUAACACUAACUGGAGGACCGAACC
rnacentral:rRNA from 1 species